UGGGGAAUAUUGCGCAAUGGGGGCAACCCUGACGCAGCAACGCCGCGUGAAGGAAGAAGGUCUUCGGAUUGUAAACUUUUGUCUUAAGGGACGAAAAAGGACGGUACCUUAGGAGGAAGCCACGGCUAACUACGUGCCAGCAGCCGCGGUAAUACGUAGGUGGCAAGCGUUGUCCGGAUUUACUGGGUGUAAAGGGCGUGUAGGCGGGCUGAUAAGUCAGAUGUGAAAUACCGGGGCUUAACCCCGGGGCUGCAUUUGAAACUGUCAGUCUUGAGUGUCGGAGAGGUAAGCGGAAUUCCUAGUGUAGCGGUGAAAUGCGUAGAUAUUAGGAGGAACACCAGUGGCGAAGGCGGCUUACUGGACGAUAACUGACGCUGAGGCGCGAAAGCGUGGGUAGCAAACAGG
rnacentral:rRNA from 1 species